AGCUCCAAUAGCGUAUAUUAAAGUUGUUGCAGUUAAAAAGCUCGUAGUUGGAUUUCUGGUGUGAGGGAACGGUCCGACCUCUGGUGGGUACUUGCUUCCUCUCACACCAUCCUUGAGUGGUGCAUUCUGGCAUUCAGUUGUCGGGACGUUAGCCGCUCAUCGUUUACUGUGAGAAAAUUAGAGUGUUCAAAGCAGGCUUAUGCCAUUGAAUAUAUUAGCAUGGAAUAAUAAGAUAGGACUUCAGUACUAUUUUGUUGGUUUGCACACCGAUGUAAUGAUCAAUAGGGACAGUUGGGGGUAUUCGUAUUCAGUUGUCAGAGGUGAAAUUCUUAGAUUUACGGAAGACGAACUACUGCGAAAGCAUUUACCAAGGAUGUUUUCA
rnacentral:rRNA from 1 species